GCUGUCGCCCAGCGUUUCUCUGGAGGGAGGCUGGGAAGGCUUUGGCGGCUUGGGAGACCAUUAAACUUAAACACAACUGGGAGUGUGGCAAAUCACAAAGUUGGUAUCAGACUGAGGCCCCUGUGAAUGGCAAGUAAAACCACCGUACUGUCAGGAAGAACCACAGGAAUCUUUAUCUGAGCUUUUAAACCAGUGCCAAUAUGGCAGAUCCUGACGAAUAUGAUGAUUAUGAUGAUGAGGAGGAGGAGGAGGAGGAGGAAGUUCUGGGAGAGUAUGUUGAGCAGAUU